UACGUAGGGGGCAAGCGUUGUCCGGAAUUACUGGGCGUAAAGCGCACGUAGGCGGACUCUUAAGUCGGGGGUGAAAGCCCAGGGCUCAACCCUGGAACUGCCUUCGAUACUGGGAGUCUUGAGUGUGGAAGAGGUUGGUGGAACUGCGAGUGUAGAGGUGAAAUUCGUAGAUAUUCGCAAGAACACCAGUGGCGAAGGCGGCCAACUGGUCCAUUACUGACGCUGAGGUGCGAAAGCGUGGGGAGCAAACAGG
rnacentral:rRNA from 1 species